AUUCCUCGACCUUAACCCGCAAGGUUCCAAAUCUAUCUCCACCUUUCUUUAAUUAGGGUUUUGUUUUGGUCUUCGUCUUCUCACUCUGUGUUUCUAGGGUUUUGUUCGAAUCGCAACUGCAAUCUAGGGGUUUCGUUGCAAUUAUUCUCUCUAUAAAUAGUACGCAUUGAUAAUUUUCAUCUUUCAGUUCGUGUCCUAAUAGAAUCUGAUUUCUUCUAUUCCGCAACUGUGAUCGUGAAGUUACGGUUUUCUGAAUCGUUCCCUGUUCAAUUCGUGAAAAGGGGUUUUUUGUUUGGGUUUGAUUUGGGGAAUUUGUGGAGUUUUGGGCAGUUCGACUGCGAAAACCAUGCCUCAGAGGACGGUGAAGAGAGGUGCAGCGGCGGGAGCGAAGAGGACGACCAGAGUCACAAGGGGGACGAACAAGGCCCAGAACCAGGUCCAGCAUGAGGCUCCUGACGAGUCGGCCAAGGCUGAAGUCGAGGAUGCGGUGCCGAUGAUGGAAACUAAAGAGGAUCUCAAUGUUGAAGAGAUUAAGGAGAAGCCAAUUGCGGCGUAUAAUCCGAUGGUUGUCGUGGAGAAAUCAGUUGUUGAUGAAAAAGCUUCCGUUGUUGAUCAGCCAGGGCCUUCAGAGAUGGAAGUCCAAGCGAAAGCAGAGCAGAAUGGAUUAAAAAAACAAGAUAAGGUUAGGGAGUCUAUAGAUGAUUAUGAAAAAGAUGAAUGAUUAGAGCUAGAGGAUAAUGAAGCUGAGUAUGAACCUGAAGAAGAUGGUGGGGUUGAUUAUGAUGAGAAGGAAAUGGAACAAGGGGAUGUCCCGGAGGUUGGGGAUGAAGGAGAUGAAGAACCUGAGGAGAUUGUAGGUGAAGAAGAAGGUGACAUGGCUGAGGAGGAGUUGGAAGAUGUUCACGAAGAACUCGAGGGUGAAGAGGGUGAGGGGCAUGAGCAUGCAGAGAUGGUUGAUGAGGAAGAGGAGCACCAUGAACUUGUAAAGGAGAGACGGAAGUGCAAGGAGUUUGAAGUAUUUGUUGUUGGUCUGGACAAGGAUGCAAGUGAGGCUGAUCUUAGGAAAGCUUUUGCUGGUGUUGGUGAAGUUACUGAGGUCAGGGUGAUGAUGAACCCUCAGACUAAGAAGAACAAGGGAUUUGCAUUCUUGCGUUUUGCAACUGUGGAACAAGCAAGAUGAGCAGUUACAGAGCUUAAACAUCCAGUGAUUAAUGGAAAACAGUGUGGUGUUACUCCCAAGUCAAGACAGUGAUACUCUUUUUCUGGGUAACAUAUGCAGACAUGGACAAAGAAUGCUUUGAGAGAGAAGUUGAAACAUUAUGGAGUAGAUAGUGUUGAGGAUUUGACAGUGGUUGAAGAUACUAACAAUGAGGGAAUGAAUCGGGGCUUUGCUUUUUUGGAAUUUUCACCUUGUUCAGAUGCCAUGGAUGCUUUUAAGCGACUUCAGAAAAUAGAUAUUGUGUUUGGAGUUGAUAGGCCUGCAAAAGUUUCUUUUGCAGAUUCCUUCAUUGAUCCUGGUGAUGAAAUCAUGGCACAGGUGAAAACUGUGUUUGUGGAUGGCCUACAUGCUUCAUGGGAUGAGGAUCAUGUUCGAGAUUUUGUUAAGGAAUAUGGGAAUGUUGAAAAGAUUGAGCUUGCGCGUAACAUGCCCUCUGCUAAGAGGAAAGAUUUUGGUUUUGUUACAUUUGACACUGAUGAGGCUGCAGUUACAUGUGCUAAAAGCAUUAACAAUGCAGAGCUAGGUGAAGGAGAUAGCAAGGCGAAAGUCAGGGCGAGGUUAUCAAGACCACUUCAGAGGGGUAAAGGAAGACAUGUUGGACGCGAAGAUUAUCGAUCUUCAAGGGGGGUUGGACGAGUUGUUAGGGGUUCAUGGGGUCACCCAGCAUCGCGCGGGUUAAGGGGAGUUGGAAGUCGAAUUCCACCAGCCAGUGUAAAGAGGCCUGUUGAGCUAAGAGAUAGACGCCCUAUGAUGUCGUCUUAUCCACCAAGAGGCAGGCCUUUGCCUCCUCCAGCUAGGUCCUAUGACAGGAGACCACCUGUUCCAGCUUACCCAAAGAGUAGCUUCAAGAGGGAAUAUAGUAGGCGCGAGGACCUUCCUCCUCCAAGGAGUAGAGCAGCCUCUGAUUAUGGAUCAAGGGCUGUUCAAGAAAGACACCAAUCGUACCUAGAUGACUACACUCCGCGUGGUCCUGCCUACUCUGAUCCACCGAGAAGUAUCUCUCAUACAGCAGGAAGGAGAGCUUAUGUUGAUGAAGGUUACGGACAGCGAUAUGAAAGGCAUCCUCCCCCUCCUCCUCCAAGUUACCGUGAAGGGCGUGCACGUGAAUAUGACUAUUUCUGGUUCAAAACGUCCCUACGCUGCACUGGAUGAUGUUCCUCCCCAUUAUGCUGAUGCGGCCAUCCACCAAUCCAGGGCACGGUUAGACUAUGAGUACGGAAGCGGUUCAUCUCAAUAUGGGGAUGGCUAUAGUGACAGACUUGGCAGAUCUAGUAUGGGAUAUGGAAGCAGCAGAACAAGUCAGGAUUCUCAUGGACCAUACAGCAACAGCAGUCGUCAGGGCAUAGACUAUGGAGGAGGUUCUUAUGGUGGCAAUGGUGGUGGUGGAAUGUACUCUUCAAGCUAUGGCAGUGAUGUUGGAGGUAGCUCUUACUCAUCAAUGUACUCUGGCCGUUGUGUGGGUGGAAGCAGUUAUAUGGGUUCAGGCGUUUCUGGCUCAUACUACUGAGCGAUGCACAUGAGUCAUUAUUACUAUUUUCCCGCUGGAGAUAUAUUUUCUUCCGAAGGCACAUCAUCUCUUCUUUUGCUCUAAGAGUUCAUUGGUGAAAACAGAGCAAUAUAUGGUUACAAGUGAAUUUGUCUAAGGAACAGAUCUGACAUGACGAAGAGGAUGCUGUAGAAUGUGGACUGUGUGAAGCUUUUCCAUUUCGUUGCUUAGAGUUAUGGACAGAGAGAGUUUCCCUAAGAACCUUAUGUGUGUGAGAGGAUCCUUCAUUGCAUACAAUAAGGUUGUAGUGGUUCAAGCCUUCUUAGAUUACCAGAGAUCGGUUAAAUGUGCCAGGCUGUAGUUAUUUUGCUGCAAGGAAAUUCAAGUUAUUCAAAGAUGAGACAUUCAAUUGCUUAGUUUAUGACGUGCCUUCUACUUAUCUUGUAGAAGAACUCCACCUGACUGAAAAUUUGGAGUCCUGGUGCAUCCUUCCUUUGUUCUAUUGAAUAGAUAAGAUUAUAACGAGAGAAUGAGGAUUUUCUUAAUGUGAUUAUAAGGUAUUUUGGAUAUUUUUUAUGCUGAGUCAUUUGGAAAGGUUUGAAUAAUAAAAGCAUUUUGGCCAUUUAGAUCACUUAA